rnacentral:lncRNA from 1 species
GAUAAUAUCGGCACAAUAUCGGUAUCGGCCGAUAAAAGCUUAAAAUGACCAUUAUCGGUAUCGGCCGAUAUGAAUAUUUCUGCCGAUGAGCCAAACCGAUAUUCUCCAAGUGAAAUAAUUGACCUGUUUUUCAGAUGUGAAUGUCUGUCUACAUUUGUAAAAUAAUAAAUUUAUGGUAGAAUCAGUACAGAAGAGAUACAUGGAUUUCUCUUCAGUAAAAUUAAAGUUUAAAUAUAUCAGUAUAUAUUUGUAUAUAUAUCGAUAUCGGUAUCGGCAUCGGCCAAAAUUAUUUUGAAAAUAUCGGCAUAUCGAAUAUCGGCCAAAAUCCAAUAUCGUGCAUCCCUAAUUAAGAAUGCUGUGCAAUGUGUUUUUGUCUUUGUUCUAGAAAAAAAAACACUUUAGAAAGUUCUGAUGACGAAACAGACAUUGAGAUGAAGCGACAAUAUGAAAAAGCAAAAAAACAAAAAAAGGUUGCAAAUGAGAGGAUCCUCACUCAGCUGAAGGAUACACUGAGGAAACCACUCCACUCUGAUCCACGCAGAACCAUUCCGUUACAUAGUGAGGAGGAAGUUCAAGCCGAAACCGUGGACACAAAUGUGGAUUUGUUCGAUUACCCAGAGAAUUUUCAACCAACUGAUACCUUAGAUGCUGUUGAGGCAAGUGGAGAGAGCGUGGAACAGCCAUUAUUUGUCAGUGGUGAAGUGUUGAAAGCUUUGAAAGGUACAGUAUAAAAUACCUGAAAUGAGUUGUGCUGAGGGAUGCUAUGUGGAUAAUUAUGUCUUACAUAUACUAUAUAUACAAUAAUACAUGUGUGAUUGUAAUUUUCUAUUGACUUAAUUUGUAUUUAAAGCAGUAAAAAGUGGUUGUACUGUAUUUCAUUUCUUUAG